UCCAUAAAACCCGUAGAAGAUAUAAAAAUACUUGUCUGAAUUUUAAGUUGAUAAAACCCUUGAAAAUCCCAGUCGAAAAAUAUUUUUGGUAGUUUGGUAAAAAGGUAGAACAUUUUGAUUCACUGUUUACAACUGAAAACGAUUUAACACAUGAUGGCAGCUCCCACUGUGGAUUUUAGUAAAAUUGAAGCACCAGCAAUCACAAAGUUCCUCUUUUUGCAAGGCAAAGGAGCAGCAGAAAUCCAUGGUGAGAUGAAAAAAGUCUUGAAGGAUGGCUGCCCAUCUUACUCCACAGUGAAAAUUUGGGUGUCAAAGUUUCAAACUGGUAAUUUUGAGGUCACAGAUGAACCCCGGUCAUGUCAGCUAACUUCUACCAGAGAGAAGCCAUAUCACUGUAAUAUCUGUGGAAAAGCAUAUUCUAAAAAAAGUUCCUUUGUUAAACACAAAUGUAAUCCUACAAAAGACUAAAAUUAUCCAUGUCAAAAGUCAAGUCAUUCUCUGAAAUAUAUAUA